rnacentral:pre_miRNA from 11 species
CAAGUGGAUCUUUGGAGACAAAUGUGUGGGCAAAUCCCAGGACAAGUCCCCAAAUGUAAGACCUCCCCCUGAAAGGGAAGAUCCUCACUCAAGUCUCCGGAUGAUGUGUCCUCCCAAGAACUCACGAGACACU